rnacentral:lncRNA from 1 species
CUUUUAUUACUCUUUAUAUAUUAACUUCCGCUUCUUGAAUUAGACUAUUUCUCUAACUUUUGGCUAUCUAUAGUAAAUUGUAUUGCCUAGACACCAACUUGACUACUUCGUAUUUCGUUCAACAUCAGGAAUAUAUGUUGGGAAUGGAACUGUGAUCCAUUUCACUCGGGGACCAGGUCAGGAAAUUGGGAUAGGAACGGUGUUAUAUCGUUUCAUUUUCGGCUCGUCUCCAUCUGAUCCCUCCAAGCCCCCAUGCCCGAU